rnacentral:rRNA from 2 species
CAUGCAAGUCGAGCGAAUGGAUUGAGAGCUUGCUCUCAAGAAGUUAGCGGCGGACGGGUGAGUAACACGUGGGUAACCUGCCCAUAAGACUGGGAUAACUCCGGGAAACCGGGGCUAAUACCGGAUAACAUUUUGAACCGCAUGGUUCGAAAUUGAAAGGCGGCUUCGGCUGUCACUUAUGGAUGGACCCGCGUCGCAUUAGCUAGUUGGUGAGGUAACGGCUCACCAAGGCAACGAUGCGUAGCCGACCUGAGAGGGUGAUCGGCCACACUGGGACUGAGACACGGCCCAGACUCCUACGGGAGGCAGCAGUAGGGAAUCUUCCGCAAUGGACGAAAGUCUGACGGAGCAACGCCGCGUGAGUGAUGAAGGCUUUCGGGUCGUAAAACUCUGUUGUUAGGGAAGAACAAGUGCUAGUUGAAUAAGCUGGCACCUUGACGGUACCUAACCAGAAAGCCACGGCUAACUACGUGCCAGCAGCCGCGGUAAUACGUAGGUGGCAAGCGUUAUCCGGAAUUAUUGGGCGUAAAGCGCGCGCAGGUGGUUUCUUAAGUCUGAUGUGAAAGCCCACGGCUCAACCGUGGAGGGUCAUUGGAAACUGGGAGACUUGAGUGCAGAAGAGGAAAGUGGAAUUCCAUGUGUAGCGGUGAAAUGCGUAGAGAUAUGGAGGAACACCAGUGGC